rnacentral:rRNA from 1 species
AGCUGCAGUCGAGAUCUUUCGCAUGGGCGAAGCCUGACGAAGCGACGCUGCGUGAGUGAUGAAGGCUUUCGGGUUGUAAAACUCUUUCGCGCAAGAGCAAAGUGAUGUAGUGAAUAACUAGGUCAUAUGAGAGUAUUGCGUAAAGAAGCACCGGCUAACUCC